AAAAAAAAAAAAAAAAAAAAAAAACGAUUUUUCGUCGCGCGUAAAUUCCCGCGAGUAUAUGCGAAACCGCCGAAACCGCGCGGGAUUACCAGUUGGAGCCGUCGGAAACGCCGCGUUCCGAAACGUUUCGCGUCCGGAGCUCAUUGAGUUAUUGAGUAAACACUCGAACGACAACAACGGCCGGCCCGGGGCAUUCGCGUUCGAUUCGCAAAGGACCGCGGAACGGAUCGUAAUUCGCGUUUUUCGCGGCGCGCGAAAAAGAGAACCGGUUGUGGGACGGGGGAAAAACAAUCGAAAACACGCAUUAAGAUUCACGGCUCUGCGCGGCGCACCGAUUGUAAUGCGACCGGCGGAUCGGCGGUCGGCGCGAUUUCAUGUAAAAAAAAAAAAAAAAAAACAUUGUGUACAUAAAUAUUACGUUUACUAUUGGAUAUUAUAACGCU